CUACUCCACCCCUACCUCCACCCCUACGUCCACCCUACCUCCACCCUGAAGACUCCACCGAGCAGAGAUCUAGUCCAGCCCAGGUUAAAAGCCUCGACAAAGAAAGGAAAGGGCAUCCUGAAGGGUACAGGAGAGUAAGAAGACACAGCAAGAAGUCAGCUCACAGACAGAGUGAGUCUCAAUCAUGUGUUUGUCUUGAAAUGAUGGUGUAUAAAACCCACAAACUGUAGUAAUAGAAAAACCAUCAAUCUCUGAUCAGUUGUUUUUCUUGAUGUCAGUCUCUGUAACAAAAUAAAUGUUUUCUAUAUACAGCCUGGCUAUAUACACAUCUGGCUCUAUAUACAGGCCUGGCUAUGUUACCGUCAAGGAAUCUGAAGUUAUUCAGCUGGAUGUUUACUUGCAGGAGGCUCUAUGGGAGAGGAGGCCUGAAGAGAAAGUUGGCUGUUCUCCAGAAGCGUGGCUCCACCCUGCUGCAUCACUCUGCACCCUAUGGACCACAAGCUGCAAUGAAGACCUACUAAAGAACAAGAUCAGAGCAUUGGAAACACAGCUGCAAGUCUGCCUGCAG